UAAUAGCGUAUAUUAAAGUUGUUGCGGUUAAAAAGCUCGUAGUUGGAUUUCUGCCGAGGACGACCGGUCCGCCCUCUGGGUGAGUAUCUGGCUCGGCCUGGGCAUCUUCUUGGAGAACGUAUCUGCACUUGACUGUGUGGUGCGGUAUCCAGGACUUUUACUUUGAGGAAAUUAGAGUGUUUCAAGCAGGCUUACGCCUUGAAUACAUUAGCAUGGAAUAAUAAGAUAGGACUUUGGUGGUCUAUUUUGUUGGUUUGUCACGCCAAGGUAAUGAUUAAUAGGGAUAGUUGGGGGUAGUUUAUAUUUAAUUGUCAGAGGUGAAAUUACUUGGAUUUAUGAAAGAUAAACUAACUGCGAAAGACAUUUACC
rnacentral:rRNA from 1 species